rnacentral:rRNA from 1 species
GAGGAAUAUUGGUCAAUGGGCGCGAGCCUGAACCAGCCAAGUAGCGUGAAGGAUGAAGGUCCUAUGGAUUGUAAACUUCUUUUAUAGCAGAAUAAAGUGACACACGUGUGGGUUUUUGUAUGUAUGCUAUGAAUAAGGAUCGGCUAACUCCGUGCCAGCAGCCGCGGUAAUACGGAGGAUCCGAGCGUUAUCCGGAUUUCUUGGGUUUAAAGGGUGCGUAGGCGGAAAGAUAAGUCAGCCUGUGAAAGUUUGCGGCUCAACCGUAAAAUUGCAGUUGAUACUGUUUGUCUGGAGUGUACAUAAGGUCGGCGCAAUUCGUGGUGUAGCGGUGAAAUGCUUAGAGAUCACGAAGAACUCCGAUUGCGAAGGCAGCUUACCGGGGUACAACUGACGCUGAUGCACGAAAGUGUGGGUAUCAAACA